CGCCUGUUUAUCAAAAACAUCGCCUCUUGUAAAGAUAAAAUAAGAGGUACCGCCUGCCCUGUGACUAAAAGUUUAACGGCCGCGGUAUUUUGACCGUGCAAAGGUAGCGCAAUCACUUGCCUUUUAAAUGAGGGCCUGUAUGAAUGGCAUAACGAGGGCUUAACUGUCUCCUCUCCCUAGUCAAUGAAAUUGAUCUCCCCGUGCAGAAGCGGGGAUAAAAACAUAAGACGAGAAGACCCUGUGGAGCUUUAGACCAUAAACAGACCAUGUCAAGGACAACAACAAAUUACUCAAACAAAUUGGCUACUGUUUUUAUGUCUUUGGUUGGGGCGACCGCGGGAAAAUAAGAAUCUCCCACGAGGAUAGAGAAAACCCUAUUCUUAUAACCAAGAGCUUCCUCUCUAAGUAACAGAACAUCUGACCUUUAUGAUCCGGCCUGGCCGAUCAACGGACCGAGUUACCCCAGGGAUAACAGCGCAAUCCUCUUUUAGAGUCCAUAUCGACAAGGGGGUUUACGACCUCGAUGUUGGAUCAGGACAUCCUAAUGGUGCAGCCGCUAUUAAGGGUUUGUUUGUUCAACAAUUAAAGUCCUACGUGAUCUGAGUUCAGACCGG
rnacentral:rRNA from 1 species